CUUUAAGAAAACACAUACUCUAUGCUAAUCUCUCUCUAAUUUAUGCUUUAAACUUUCAAGUAAAUCCAUACCCCCUAACAGCAGUGUCCAGUGAAGCAGGAAGUCAAUGGGGACACUGGGAGAAAUGGGGACACAGACACUAGGGACACAGAGACACAGACACUGGAAGACAUGGGGACACUAAGACACUAGGGACACUGGCUGGGAGGCAUGGAGACACAGGCAUGGAGACACUUGG